CAUCUCGAACACGGAAGUUAAGCUCUUUAGCGUCGAUGGUACUGCAUGGGAGACUGUGUGGGAGAGUAGAACGCUGCCAGAU
rnacentral:rRNA from 1 species